GAUCAUGGCUCAGAAUGAACGUUGGCGGCGUGGAUUAGGCAUGCAAGUCGUGCGCGAUGAGUUUGGUGCUUGCAUUAAACUCUGAAAGCGGCGAAAGGGAGAGUAACGCGUGGAUCAUCUACCCUCGGGUCUGGGAUAGCUGCGGGAAACUGCAGGUAAUACCGGAUGAUGUCCCUGGACCAAAGGUGCAAUUCCGCCUGAGGAUGAGUCCGCGUCCUAUUAGCUAGUUGGUGGGGUAACAGCCCACCAAGGCAAAGAUGGGUACCGGGUGUGAGAGCAUGGCCCGGCUCACUGGGACUGAGACACUGCCCAGACACCUACGGGUGGCUGCAGUCGAGAAUCUUCCGCAAUGGACGAAAGUCUGACGGAGCGACGCCGCGUGCGGGAUGAAGGCCUUCGGGUUGUAAACCGCUGUCAGAAGGGAGGAAAUACAUAAGGGUUCUCUCUUAUGUUUGACCGAUCUUCAGAGGAAGUCCGGGCUAAGUUCGUG
rnacentral:rRNA from 1 species